rnacentral:rRNA from 1 species
UACGAAGGGGGCUAGCGUUGCUCGGAUUGACUGGGCGUAAAGGGCGCGUAGGCGGUUCGUACAGUCAGACGUGAAAUUCCUGGGCUCAACCUGGGGGCUGCGUUUGAUACGUGCGGACUUGAGUGCGGAAGAGGGUCGUGGAAUUCCCAGUGUAGAGGUGAAAUUCGUAGAUAUUGGGAAGAACACCGGUGGCGAAGGCGGGUCUCUGGGCCGAUACUGACGCUGAGGAGCGAAAGCGUGGGGAGCAAACGG